GCAGGGCAUGGUAGCCCAUGCCUGUAAUCCCAACACUUUGGGAGGCUGAGGUGGGUGGAUCACCUGAGGUUAGGAGUUCGAGACCAGCCUGGCCAACAUGGUGAAACCCCAUCUCUACUAAAAAUACAAAAAUUAGGUCAGGCGCGGUGGCUCACGCCUGUAAUCCCAGCACUUUGGGAGGCUGAGGCGGGUGGAGCAUGAGGUCAAGAGAUCGAGACCAUCCUGGCCAACAUGGUGAAACUCCAUCCCU
rnacentral:sRNA from 1 species